rnacentral:rRNA from 1 species
UACGUAGGGGGGCUAGCGUUGUCCGGAAUCAUUGGGCGUAAAGCGCGUGUAGGCGGCCCGGUAAGUCCGCUGUGAAAGUCCAGGGCUCAACCCUGGGAUGCCGGUGGAUACUGUCGGGCUCGAGUCCGGAAGAGGCGAGUGGAAUUCCUGGUGUAGCGGUGAAAUGCGCAGAUAUCAGGAGGAACACCGAUGGCGAAGGCAGAUCUCUGGGCCGUAACUGACGCUGAGGAGCGAAAGCAUGGGGAGCGAACAGG